CUCCGUUAUAGUGACAGCUUGGCUAUUUUUUCUUCAUCUUUGUCAUUUCGAUUUUAACUUACUGCAGUCCAAAAUGUAUUGAAUAAACCCCUGACAUGGAUUGUUCUGUCAUCCCCUUGGGUAUUAGUCUAUGAUUUAUUUUGGAGAUCUUCUGCAGGUGUUAAAACCAAUGUCUAUGUCUAAACAGGCUCUGAAGUUGGAUCACACAGUUACAUAGUUACACAGGCUGAAAAGAGACUUGUGUCCAUCAAGUUCAGUUCAGCCUUUAAUUUGGUUAA